ensembl:ncRNA B0034.15 ncRNA
UAACUUGACGCCAAUACAAGCGACUGCGAGAGCAGAGAGUGUGCCACGUCAGCAUCAUGAAAGAAAAAUGAAGGAAAAUGAGAUGUUAUUUUGACGUCGUCAUUUUUCGCAGAGUCGCGUCGAUUGUCGAGGCG